rnacentral:rRNA from 1 species
GGGAUUGCCCUAGUAACGGCGAGUGAAGCGGCAACAGCUCAAAUUUGAAAUCUGGCUCUUUCAGAGUCCGAGUUGUAAUUUGCAGAGGGCGCUUUGGCGUUGGCAGCGGUCCAAGUUCUUUGGAACAGGACGUCACAGAGGGUGAGAAUCCCGUACGUGGUCGCUAGCCUUCGCCGUGUAAAGCCCCUUCGACGAGUCGAGUUGUUUGGGAAUGCAGCUCUAAAUGGGAGGUAAAUUUCUUCUAAAGCUAAAUAUUGGCCAGAGACCGAUAGCGCACAAGUAGAGUGAUCGAAAGAUGAAAAGCACUUUGGAAAGAGAGUCAAAUAGCACGUGAAAUUGUUGAAAGGGAAGCGCUUGCAGCCAGACUUGCCUGUAGUUGCUUAUCUGGACUUUUGUCCGGUGCACUCUUCUAUAGGCAGGCCAGCAUCAGUUUGGGCGGUUGGAUAAAGGUCUCUGUCAUGUACCUCCUUUCGGGGAGGCCUUAUAGGGGAGACGACAUGCAACCAGCCUGGACUGAGGUCCGCGCAUCUGCUAGGAUGCUGGCGUAAUGGCUGUAAGCGGCCCGUCUUGAAACACGGACCAAGGAGUCUAACAUCUAUGCGAGUGUUUGGGUGUCAAGCCCAGACGCGUAAUGAAAGUGAACGGAGGUGGGAACCCUUUGGGUGCACCAUCGACCGAUCCUGAUGUCUUCGGAUGGAUUUGAGUAAGAGCAUGGCUGUUGGGACCCGAAAGAUGGUGAACUAUGCUUGAAUAGGGUGAAGCCAGAGGAAACUCUGGUGGAGGCUCGCAGCGGUUCUGACGUGCAAAUCGAUCGUCAAAUUUGGGCAUAGGGGCG